CUAAGCUGGAAGAAUAUGUGUGAAGCUGCCAACGGUCUUCCCUGUUGCUACAUGGAGACAUAGCAGCUUGGCAAUGAAGUCAAUACUAAGGAUAGCAGAGUUUAUGGGGAAGGAGGAGAAUGAGAGAGAAAAUGAUGACACUGUUUGUGGCUUUUGAUCCAGCUGUUCUUAAAAGUAAUCAUCCGCGUUGAACUUCCUGGUUUAGGUUUUGGCUGAAGCAUGAAGAUACAUCUUUCCUUAUGAAUGUCUUCCAGAAAAUAAAAGCAGUGGGGACCUAACUUAAAGGCAGAAGAAAUCAGAGAGAAGGAUGGAGUGGGGAAAAGAAGAGGGAGGCUGACAGAGAAGCUUAAAGAAAUGCUUUCAGAUGGCAACAAAAGCCAAAAUAGAUAAAUGGGAUUUAAUUAAACUAAAGAGUUUCCGCACAGCAAAAUAAACUAUCAUUAGAGUCAACAGGCAACCUACAGAAUGGGAGAAAAUUCUCGCAAUCUACCGAUUUGACAAAAGGCUAAUAUCCAGAAUCUACAAAGAAUUUAAACAAAUUUGAAAGAAAAAAAACAACCCCAUCAAAAAGUGGGCAAAGGAUAUGAACAGACACUUCUCAAAAUAAGACAUUUAUGCAGCCAACAGACAUAUGAAAAAAUGCUCAUCAUCACUGGUCAUCAGAGAAAUGCAAAUCAAAACCACAAUGAGAUACCAUCUCACGCCAGUUAGAAUGGCGAUCAUUAAGAAGUCAGGAAACAACAGAUGCUGGAGAGGAUGUGAAGAAAUAGGAACGCUUUUACACUGUUGGUGGGAGUGUGAAUUAGUACAACCAUUGUGGAAGACAGUGUGGUGAUUCCUCAAGGAUCUAGAACUAAAAAUACCAUUUGACCCAGCAAUCCCAUUACUGGGUAUAUACCCAAAGGAUUAUAAAUCACGCUACUACAAAGACACA